rnacentral:rRNA from 1 species
AUUGAACGCUGGCGGCGUGCUUAACACAUGCAAGUCGAUCGGUAACGCGGGGGCAACCCUGGCGACGAGAGGCGGACGGGUGAGGAACGCUUGGGAAUCUGCCUAUCAGCGGGGGACAACCCGGGGAAACUCGGGCUAAUACCGCAUACGCUCUACGGAGGAAAGCCGGGGACCGCAAGGCCUGGCACUGAUAGAUGAGCACAAGUCGGAUUAGCUAGUUGGCGGGGUAACGGCCCACCAAGGCGACGAUCCGUAGCUGGUCUGAGAGGACGAUCAGCCACACUGGGACUGAGACACGGCCCAGACUCCUACGGGAGGCAGCAGUGGGGAAUAUUGGACAAUGGGGGAAACCCUGAUCCAGCGACGCCGCGUGGGUGAAGAAGGCCUGCGGGUUGUAAAGCCCUUUCGGUAGGGACGAAAGCUCUCGACCUAACACGUCGGGAGGUUGACUUAACCUACAAAAGAAGCACCGGCUAACUCUGUGCCAGCCGCCGCGGUAAGAC